GAUGAACGCUGGCGGCGUGCCUAAUACAUGCAAGUCGAGCGAACAGACGAGGAGCUUGCUCCUUUGACGUUAGCGGCGGACGGGUGAGUAACACGUAGGUAACCUACCUAUAAGACUGGGAUAACUUCGGGAAACCGGAGCUAAUACCGGAUAAUAUUUCGAACCGCAUGGUUCGAUAGUGAAAGAUGGCUUUGCUAUCACUUAUAGAUGGACCUGCGCCGUAUUAGCUAGUUGGUAAGGUAACGGCUUACCAAGGCAACGAUACGUAGCCGACCUGAGAGGGUGAUCGGCCACACUGGAACUGAGACACGGUCCAGACUCCUACGGGAGGCAGCAGUAGGGAAUCUUCCGCGAUGGGCGAAAGCCUGACGGAGCAACGCCGCGUGAGUGAUGAAGGUCUUCGGAUCGUAAAACUCUGUUAUUAGGGAAGAACAAACGUGUAAGUAACUGUGCACGUCUUGACGGUACCUAAUCAGAAAGCCACGGCUAACUACGU
rnacentral:rRNA from 1 species